rnacentral:ncRNA from 1 species
CUUGUGACGUCAGUUGGUUGUUGCCCUUCAUCCGUUGAGUUAGUGGUAUUAUAGAUUGUCUUAUUUCCUGUUGCGUUUCCUCACUUAUUCCGGAAGUUUUGAGUGAUGACUCUAGUGCUGCGUAGAAUGCUAGUUUUGGGGCAUCGCUUGUUCUCAAACUUUAAAUGGGUGAGAAGCUUAACUCGCUUGAUUGGAGUUUUGCAUUGAAUGUGAGUGCCAAGUGGGCCAUUUUUGGUAAGCAGAACUGGCGCUGUGGGAUGAACCAAACGUUCGGUUAAGGUGCCUAACACGACGCUCAUGAGAUACCACAAAAGGUGUUGGUUGGUCUAGACAGCAGGACGGUGGCCAUGGAAGUCGGAAGCCGCUAAGGAGUGUGUAACAACUCACCUGCCGAAUCAACCAGCCCUGAAAAUGGAUGGCGCUCGAGCGUUGGACCUAUACCGGACCGUUGCUGUAAGCUAGGCCUAUGCUGUGUGAGGGCAAGCUGCACUUGGUCUAGGCAUGGAGUGACGGCAACGAGUAGGAGGGUCGCUGUGGCUAGCGGGAAGCCUCAGGCGUGAGCCUAGGUGAAGCAACCACAGGCGCAGAUCUUGGUGGUAGUAGCAAAUAUUCAAGUGAGAACCUUGAAGGGCGAGGUGGAGAAGGGUUCCAUGGGAACAGCAGUUGACCAUGGGUCAGGCGGUCCUAAGUGAUCCGGUAAAUCGAACAGAGACGGGGUGCCUGACAUUGUCCCCGUCGCGGCUUUGUUCAGUAAUCUGCAAAGUACUGUUGCAUUGCAGCCCCCUGUA